rnacentral:rRNA from 1 species
UGGCGGACGGGUGAGUAAUGUCUGGGAAACUGCCUGAUGGAGGGGGAUAACUACUGGAAACGGUAGCUAAUACCGCAUAACGUCGCAAGACCAAAGAGGGGGACCUUCGGGCCUCUUGCCAUCGGAUGUGCCCAGAUGGGAUUAGCUAGUAGGUGGGGUAAAGGCUCACCUAGGCGACGAUCCCUAGCUGGUCUGAGAGGAUGACCAGCCACACUGGAACUGAGACACGGUCCAA